rnacentral:rRNA from 1 species
GACGAACGCUGGCGGCGGGCUUAACACAUGCAAGUCGAACGAAGUGGCGAACGGGUGAGUAACGAGUCAUCAACCUGCACUUCGGAGGGGGACAACAAUUGGAAACGACAGCUAAUAACGCCUACUGAAGGAGGGGGUGUUGUGUGAUUAGCUAGUUGGAGGGGUAACGGCCCACAAAGGCGAGGAUCAGUAGCCGGGCUGAGAGGAUGAGCAGCCACACUGGGACUGAGACACGGCCCAGACUCCUACGGGAGGCAGCAGUGGGGAAUAUUGCACAAUGGGCGAAAGCCUGAUGCAGCCAUGCCGCGUGUAUGAAGAAGGCCCUAGGGUUGUAAAGUACUUUCAGUCGGGAGCGUUACCGACAGAAGAAGCACCGGCUAACUCCGUGCCAGCAGCCGCGGUAAUAC